UGGAGGUCAACCCAAAAUGGGCACAGUCUCACCACAGAAGAGUGAAAGAGGAUCCUGGCAGGGAGACGGUAGUGUCCUGCAGAAUGGUGAUGGGCCAAUCUUACAAGAGACCACAGAAAACUGAUAUAGUGAACUAUAGAAACAGAGUGCCUGCUGCAGUAUGGCGAGGACACCCUGAGCAGAGAGCUCCAAUAGACCCAGGUCCAGUGUCUUGGCAGGGUGAAAUGGCACUGAUAUGGGUAUGUACUGAUGUCAGUUAAAAUGAAUGAAUGAAUUAAUUCUCAUAUCUGAAUAAUGUGCACACUGGA